rnacentral:rRNA from 1 species
CACGUAGGGCGCAAGCGUUGUCCGGACUUAUUGGGCGUAAAGAGCUCUUAGGCGGUCUGUUGCGUCCGCUGUGAAAACCCGGGGCUUAACCCCUGGCUUGCAGUGGAUACGGACAGACUAGAGGUAGGUAGGGGAGAAUGGAAUUCCCGGUGUAGCGGUGAAAUGCGCAGAUAUCGGGAGGAACACCGGUGGCGAAGGCGGUUCUCUGGGCCUUACCUGACGCUGAGGAGCGAAAUCGUGGGGAGCGAACAGG